UUUGACGUUAGCGACAGAAGAAGCACCGGCUAACUCCGUGCCAGCAGCCGCGGUAAUACGGAGGGUGCGAGCGUUAAUCGGAAUUACUGGGCGUAAAGCGCAUGCAGGUGGUUUGUUAAGUCAGAUGUGAAAGCCCGGGGCUCAACCUCGGAAUUGCAUUUGAAACUGGCAGACUAGAGUACUGUAGAGGGGGGUAGAAUUUCAGGUGUAGCGGUGAAAUGCGUAGAGAUCUGAAGGAAUACCGGUGGCGAAGGCGGCCCCCUGGACAGAUACUGACACUCAGAUGCGAAAGCGUGGGGAGCAAACAGGAUUAGAUACCCUGGUAGUCCACGCCGUAAACGAUGUCUACUUGGAGGUUGUGGCCUUGAGCCGUGGCUUUCGGAGCUAACGCGUUAAGUAGACCGCCUGGGGAGUACGGUCGCAAGAUUAAAACUCAAAUGAAUUGACGGGGGCCCGCACAAGCGGUGGAGCAUGUGGUUUAAUUCGAUGCAACGCGAAGAACCUUACCUACUCUUGACAUCCAGAGAACUUUCCAGAGAUGGAUUGGUGCCUUCGGGAACUCUGAGACAGGUGCUGCAUGGCUGUCGUCAGCUCGUGUUGUGAAAUGUUGGGUUAAGUCCCGCAACGAGCGCAACCCUUAUCCUUGUUUGCCAGCGAGUAAUGUCGGGAACUCCAGGGAGACUGCCGGUGAUAAACCGGAGGAAGGUGGGGACGACGUCAAGUCAUCAUGGCCCUUACGAGUAGGGCUACACACGUGCUACAAUGGCGCAUACAGAGGGCAGCCAACUUGCGAAAGUGAGCGAAUCCCAAAAAGUGCGUCGUAGUCCGGAUUGGAGUCUGCAACUCGACUCCAUGAAGUCGGAAUCGCUAGUAAUCGUGGAUCAGAAUGCCACGGUGAAUACGUUCCCGGGCCUUGUACACACCGCCCGUCACACCAUGGGAGUGGGCUGCAAAAGAAGUAGGUAGUUUAACCUUCGGGGGGACGCUUACCACUUUGUGGUUCAUGACUGGGGUGAAGUCGUAACAAGGUAGCGCUAGGGGAACCUGG
rnacentral:rRNA from 1 species